AUUGAACGCUGGCGGCAGGCCUAACACAUGCAAGUCGAGCGGAUGAAGGGAGCUUGCUCCUGGAUUCAGCGGCGGACGGGUGAGUAAUGCCUAGGAAUCUGCCUGGUAGUGGGGGAUAACGUCCGGAAACGGGCGCUAAUACCGCAUACGUCCUGAGGGAGAAAGUGGGGGAGCUUCGGACCUCACGCUAUCAGAUGAGCCCAGGUCGGAUUAGCUAGUUGGUGGGGUAAAGGCCUACCAAGGCGACGAUCCGUAACUGGUCUGAGAGGAUGAUCAGUCACAGUGGAACUGAGACACGGUCCAGACUCCUACGGGAGGCCGCAGUGGGGAAUAUUGGAAGAUGGGCGGAAUACUGAUCCAGCCAUGCCGGGUGUGUGAAGAAGGUCUUCGGAUUGUAAAGCACUUUAAGUUGGGAGGAAGGGUAGUAAGUUAAUACCUUGCUGUUUUGACGUUACCAACAGAAUAAGCACCGGCUAACUUCGUG
rnacentral:rRNA from 1 species